rnacentral:rRNA from 1 species
AUUGAACGCUAGCGGGAUGCUUUACACAUGCAAGUCGAACGGCAGCGCGGACUUCGGUCUGGCGGCGAGUGGCGAACGGGUGAGUAAUGUAUCGGAACGUGCCCAGUAGCGGGGGAUAACUACGCGAAAGCGUAGCUAAUACCGCAUACGCCCUACGGGGGAAAGCAGGGGAUCGUAAGACCUUGCACUAUUGGAGCGGCCGAUAUCGGAUUAGCUAGUUGGUGAGGUAACGGCUCACCAAGGCGACGAUCCGUAGCUGGUUUGAGAGGACGACCAGCCACACUGGGACUGAGACACGGCCCAGACUCCUACGGGAGGCAGCAGUGGGGAAUUUUGGACAAUGGGGGCAACCCUGAUCCAGCCAUCCCGCGUGCGCGAUGAAGGCCUUCGGGUUGUAAAGCACUUUUGGCAGGAAAGAAACGUCGCGGGCUAAUACCCCGUGGAACUGACGGUACCUGCAGAAUAAGCACCGGCUAACUACGUG